GUUGUGUGUUUGCUUUGUCUCAGGCUUCUCCAUAGCAUCUCAGGCUGUGUCUGUGUGUCUCAAGCUCACACUCUCAAGCUCACUCUCUACCGCUGUUCCUCUCACUUUUUAAGAUGGCAAAAGAUAAUUGGCCUCCUGAAGAAACCUGGUUUUUUUUCCAACUUUACGCUGAAGAGAGAAAAAAGGGAAAUAGAACGAGUACAUCUAUGAAUAAAAUAGGGAAACAGAACAUCAUAGAGGCUUUUGAAGCGAAGUUUAAGAAAGGAUAUGACACUUGGCCGCCUUUCAAGAACAAAUACGACACCAGUAGGAAGAGAUACACUAAGUUUAAUAAGUUUCUUUAGAAUAGGACAGGGCUUGGGUUUGAUGACAUGGGAAGGAUUGAUAUGUCAGAUGAUUGGUGGAAUGAACGCGAAAAGGAGUGUCCUGGGAUUAGAAAAUCCAUAUGCAAAGAGAUUGCUAAUAUGGAUCUGUUUGAAGAAGAAUUUCGUGGUGUAGUUGUAACUGGAGCUGAAGGAUGGAGCGCUCAACAUGGAGAAGCAAGUUUGAAUUCUAGAGUGGGUG